GGCGGAGCUGCGUUCUCCUCGGCACAGACCCGGAGAGCAUUGCGAGGGCGGAGCUGCGUUCUGCUCUGCAUAGACCUUGGGGCACAGCCUCGCUUUGGGACAACUCGGGGCCGCAUCGACGGUGAAUAAAAUCCUUCCUGUUUGCCAUGUUUGUGGUUGGUGGCAGCGAUGGACACUGCAGCCAGCCAGAGUGUAGAAAGGCAUUGGGUGAAAGAAGAUUGCCACGGAGACAGACAGCAGCAUGGUCAGUGUGGUAGGAGCCGGCCAUCAGCAAGAGCUGCUCCAUGCCUGGCUGCUGGGAGCUAGAGCCUGCAGCCCACUGGCUUGCCUCACUGUAGUUGGUGGUGGCAGUGACAGAGACUGCAGCAUGACCAGAGUGGCUUUUCUGGCUUUG
rnacentral:lncRNA from 1 species